rnacentral:lncRNA from 1 species
UCUGUUGUGGUGCCAUAGACACCACCCACGUCAAGAUGUGCCAGCCUUCCUCAGACCCACCAAGUUAUUGGUUGAUCAUCCAAAGAACCAUAGCAUGGUAUUGCAGGCUGUUGUGGACCCUAAUAUGAGAUUCCAAGACAUUGUCACGGGCUGGGGAGGGUGCAUGAAGACUUCCUACUGCUCCAGAAUUCAGAUUUCUUCCAACUGUGCGAGAGCGAUUUGAGGCUUAAUGGGAAGAAGCUAGAACUUUCAGAUGGUUUCGAAGUGAAGAGAGUAUAUAAUUGGAGUUGCAGGGUUUCCUCUUCUUUCUCAGCUUCUCAUUCCUUACCAUGGAAAGGAUCUUUCAGACUCGAAAACUGUGUUUAACCAGCAGCACUUGCCGACCAUAAUGUUGGCACAGAGGGCAUUGGCGAGGCUGAAGGAUACUUGGAAAAUCAUUCAGGCGGAAAUGUGGAGACCUGAUUAGCAUCGAUUGCCUAGAAUAAUUCUUGUUUGCUGCUUGCAGCACAAUAUUGUCAUGGACUUAGAAGAUGCAGUGCGGAACGGGAUGCUGCUGUGUCACCAGCAUGAUCCAAGUUACAAGCAACAAUUUUGCAGUUUUGCUGGUCAGCAUGAAUUGAUUCUGAGAGAUAAGGUAUCCCGGUUCUUGUCAGAAAGAUUACCACCAUAAAAUGAUCGAAACUUUAUUUCCAUUGUUUCAGUUCAUGCUGAUGCUGGUCAGAAACUAGAUCUUCAAGGCACUUCAUUAUGCUUGAAUCAGUGUAGGUUAUUGUGGGCAGGCUUUUCUUCUUUCUUUUCUUUUUAGCCCUCACAGCUGCUUGAUGGUCUUCCUGAGUUGGUGAUUCUUUUUCAGAUAUUGAACAAGAACAUGAAGACAAAGGUCUUUUCUGGUCCCUGGUCCAUGCAUCCCCAUCUAAGAACUAUUGCUGGCAAUUACACCGACCACUCUACAAGCCAAGUAAUUCAAGUUUUUAAUAUCUUGAAAUUAUCUACAUAUAUUUUCUCCAGUCCUAAAUAUUCGAUGAUCGGUUAGCUACCACUGUUAUUACUUAGAAUGCUUAAGCCAGUCAUUAACCGUUUAAUUAGAUAGUUAUUGUUGACAAUUAUAGCAAGUUAGAGGUAAUCUGGACAACGUCACUCUACUAUUUUUCACUGUCUUUUCUAUAUUAUAUGCAAACUCUGAAGCGGGCAUUUGUGAGGGUUUGUGCAGUUCAUUUCCACUUUUUUCUAUUCCAAAAAUACCUUUCUAUUAUUUUUUUAUUUUUAAUUCCCAUCUUGUGAUGCCAUUUCUUCUUAUUGUUGAUCAGUGAAAGCAUGGGACUCCAAGCAGGUGCCUUGGAUGUGGCCUUGCAUGUGUAAGGUCUAGUUUAUUGAAACUGCAAUACGAAUGUGUUAGUUUUGAUGCAUGACAUUUUUUUUUUUUUUGAUGAGUUGGAUGCAUGAUAUUUAUUUGAUUGCAAGUUUCAGGAUAAAAGGUUGGCCUUUGACUGCCAGCUUUUCAUUGAAAGAAACGUGACAUACCCAAAUCAACUCAUAUGGAGUAUAGUCAUUUUUUUAACGAAUUUCUAUCAUUAAGUUCAAAAGAGGAAAGAAGGAAAAAAACUGCCAUAUUUGAGAGGGUGGAGGAGCAGCUGGUGGAGGAAGCAAGAGAGGGAAGGGGAAUGAAAAAAACAAAAAAAGCAGCUGGUGGAGGGCAAACAGGAAACACCAUUCACUGUUCUGCCUCCUGGAGAAACCCAUAUAAAUGCUUUAUUUCAGCAAGUCUAAUGACUGGGGCAUGGGCAAUAGUCAAUAAAUGACAGGGGAAGAACUCCAUGCAAAUAACCCCUCUCUAUUUCCAUUGUUAGGGUUUUGCCGAUGUUGUCACCUAAUUCAUACUCAUCUUGCAUCCAAUUUAGGGUUUGGUCUGGAACAUUGAGAUGGAGGCAUUGAAGCUUUUGACGAAAGAGAAGAAGUUCUGGUUCGCUUCCUUGCUGGUUGUGUGGGCGGCCAUUCUACAGGUUGUUCUACUCCCUUUUGCUCCAAAUUCUUCUAGUCUGUCAUCCAAUUCGAUGUUCCCUCCUUCCAUUUCUAAUGAUAUGAUCAGUUACUGGACCGAACGUCUUUGAAUUCUUGGUUUGUAGGAUCAAGUUUUGCAGGCACAUGUGAUGUGGAUGCAGAAGCAAGAUGCAUUCAAGCAAAAGUUUGGGGAUAUCAGCCAAAAAGAAGGUGGAUAUGAUUGCAUUACUGAGCAAUUUUAUCAGGUUCCUCUGAAGCCGAAUCAUAUCCCCAUUUCCUUUAUAGA